UACGGGGGGGGCAAGCGUUGUUCGGAAUUACUGGGCGUAAAGGGCUCGUAGGCGGCCAACUAAGUCACACGUGAAAUCCCUCGGCUUAACCGGGGAACUGCGUGUGAUACUGGAUGGCUUGAGUUCGGGAGAGGGAUGUGGAAUUCCAGGUGUAGCGGUGAAAUGCGUAGAUAUCUGGAGGAACACCGGUGGCGAAGGCGGCAUCCUGGACCGACACUGACGCUGAGGCGCGAAAGCUAGGGGAGCAAACGGG
rnacentral:rRNA from 1 species